CUUUUGGCAGGCAUCUCUGUGGUGACUAAUACUGGAGUUGUCUCGAAGCCUGUCAGCUAUGGCUUGCAAGCAUUGGCCAGCAGCCUCACCUUCGGUAUUCAAAAACCCACAGUUUACAAUCCCAUCCAAGGCAUCUCUGGAAAGACUUUAAAUGUUCAUUUGUCAAAAGAAAGGAGAGGGCUGGCCAAAUGGCUCGGUGAGUAAAGGUACUUGCGCCAAACCUGAUGACUUGAGUUCGAUUCCCUGGGUCAGUGUUGAUGGUGCCUCCCUCAACAAUCUGCACUGUGGCUUUGUUCUCUCACCUAGCUACCCUGCUUCUUUUGUGAAUCUGUGUGAACCCUGUUUUCAGUUCUUUGGAUGAGAAACCCAGUAACCAGAGCUGUCUGACCCCAGACCCUAACCAACAGUAACACUUCUGGGUCCUGGGAAAACUAGGAUAACUAAUUACUGGAAUAGCCAAGGUUCCCAACAUUUCUAAGUGCUGUGCUAUCUACAUUAAGGAGAUAGAUGCUGACAGAAGGAAGAUUAUCAACUGGAAAUGAAGGCACUGUGCCGGCACCUGAUGACGCUCACCCUUCAUGCCACAAGCUCACAGGAACCUGGGUUGGAACCCAAAACAAGGCUAUUGUCUUAACUGGCUUUGGAUUGUGAUGACCAGAAACAACUUGGCGAGGAAAGUUUAUUUGGCUCAUACAUCCAGAUCAUAGUCACUCAUAAAAGGAAGUUGGGGCAGGAACCUCGAUACAAGAAUUGAUGCAGAGUCCAGAGAGGAACCCUGUCCAUGGGCUCACUUAGGACCAUGUGCCCAGGCAGGCAUUUUGUCAACCGAGAUUCCCUUUCCCAGAUGACCCCAACUAGGAUCCAAUUGAG
rnacentral:lncRNA from 1 species